UAUAUUUUUUAUGUUUUUAAUUUACUCAAAGCGGCCGAUUUGUUGGAAAUGUAUGUAUUUAUAUAUUUUAUAAACGUAUGAAAAAUUAGAUUCGUUGAUGGAUUUUAUACCGGUUGUUUGGCGUUUUGGGGAUCACAGCCUUGACAAACAUUCCCAUUGUAUAAUAAGUUAACUAGUGAGAAUCAGAAAUACCAAAAAUCACUACUAAAAUGGAUGAUUAUAACGGGACCAUGAUCAAAAUAGAAGAAGUCGAGGACGUAAAACAGUAUUUCAACAAAGUCUUAGUGAAAAAUUCAAAGCUGAAUCACAUUAAAAAAAAACUCAACAGUUCUCGGACAAACUAUAACGAUUAUCAAAAAAACAAUUGACGGGGUCAGUAGAACAAGUAACGAAAGAAAUAAAAAAAAUUGAUGUUUGAAAUCAUUUUUAACCAAAGCCAACCUCACAUCACAAGAACGUGUACACUCUGGCGAGAAGCCUUACAAAUGUGCGGUUUGCUCAAAAGUCGAAAUUUGCAUAUCAUAAUCAAGUACACACUGGUGAAAACCCGUACAGAUGUGAUGUGUGCUUCAAGUAAUUUUUUGAAAAAUUCACGUCAUUUAAAGUGAUAUUUUCUAAUCAAAUUAUAUUAAUAAUAUCAUUAUAAACACGAUCCCUGAUGAUGAAAUAUUUGAUUUUGGCAUUAACUAUUACCAACUCUAUACUAACAGCUUGAAAAAUAAAAUUUCCAUUAGCGAUCGUAGU